rnacentral:lncRNA from 1 species
AGAGCCCGGGGUCGGUCAAUCAGGUGCGGGCGGCUGGAGCAUGGCUUUGUGAGGCCUCUGAGGGGACCCGGCGGUGGCGGCCACGGCGGGACGGGCCGCCCACCAGUUGAACUCCGACAGCUGAGGCGGCUGAGGAGAUUAGACUCCAGAGAUAAUGAUAUUAGGAAAUCCAAACUGAAAUGGACCCCAGAGCAAUUGAAGAAAGAAAGAGUCAAGGGAGGAUCCCAACGUGGCAGGGAGGCUUGCAAGGGGAGGCCGAGGCACUGGUGCAAGCAAACUAUAAUGACUAAGGUGAGAUUGUUUACUCAGGCAACAUAUG